rnacentral:rRNA from 1 species
GAUCAUGGCUCAGGAUGAACGCUAGCGACAGGCCUAACACAUGCAAGUCGAGGGGCAGCGGGGAGGUAGCAAUACCUUUGCCGGCGACCGGCGCACGGGUGAGUAACACGUAUGCAAUCCACCUGUAACAGGGGGAUAACCCGGAGAAAUCCGGACUAAUACCCCAUAAUAUGGGCUCUCCGCAUGGAGGGUCCAUUAAAGAGAGCAAUCUUGGUUACAGACGAGCAUGCGCUCCAUUAG